rnacentral:rRNA from 1 species
AUACGGAGGGUGCAAGCGUUAAUCGGAAUUACUGGGCGUAAAGCGUACGUAGGCGGUUAUUUAAGUCAGAUGUGAAAGCCCCGGGCUUAACUUGGGAACUGCAUUUGAAACUGGGUAACUAGAGUUUAGUAGAGGGGAGUGGAAUUUCAGGUGUAGCGGUGAAAUGCGUAGAGAUCUGAAGGAACACCAGUGGCGAAGGCGACUCCCUGGACUAAAACUGACGCUGAGGUACGAAAGCGUGGGUAGCAAACAGUAUUAGAAACCCCAGUAGUCC